GGAUGCGAUCAUACCAGCACUAAAGCACCGGRUSMYAUCGGAACUCCGAAGUUAAGCGUGCUUGGGCGUAGAGUAGUACUAGGAUGGGUGACCUCCUGGGAAGUCCUCGUGUUGCAUUUC
rnacentral:rRNA from 16 species